GUUGUGAGCUCGGUCUGCACUAUGCCGGGUGGAGGAAGCUCACAGUCGCACGCGGACGCGUUCUUGCGCACAUGCCCCCAAACCACAGACACACACAGAACCACACUAUCUCCUAGGACGCCCAAACGUCAAGGCUCCAGAUCCGCCAGCUUCGACACCAGCAUUCAUCUCAUCUGAGAAAGAUGAGACUCAUCCCACCAGAGGAACGCAAUGGCUAGGGAUAAGGAUAGCUCGAGAAAGCAGCCUAUCAUUCAAAGCGUGUUUGCUAAACAUACGUAAACGCACGGGCGAAUAAACCCGACCGAAGCACAGUGAAAUCCAACAGGGAAGUGGAAGGGGAACGUUCAUUAUUCAGUGCACAACUCUGUCUGGAAAAUACGAUUAUUCACAGGAGCUGAUGAGCUGAUCUCGCCCGCAGAGUGGAUGGGUAAUGAGGAUCCCAGCUUGAAGCUUGAGACCCUCAUCCUAGGUGCCUGGAAGUUAGUAUUCUGCUAGCAGCCUUCAGAUGAAGAUGUAGAACGCACAGCUCCUCCUGCACCAUGCCUGCCUGGACACUGCCAUAUUCCUGCCUUGAUGAUAACGGACUGAACAUCUGCACCUGCAAACCAGCCUCAAUUAAACGUUGUUCUUAAAAGAGUUGCCUUGGUCAUGGAGUCUGUUCACAGCCGUAAAACCCUAACUAAGACAGUGUUUGAGAUAGAACAGUAAUUGGUCUACACACCUAUAAAAUCAGGCCUGGCAGACUGAAGCAAGAAGAUCAUAAUUUGAAUACAAUCAUGUAGAUGCUGUCUUGAGUCCUCAUCCUCUGGAAGAACAGCAUGUGUUCUUCUGCACUGAGCAUCCUUACAACCCAUCUAACAUUUCCCUCAGUGAUGUCUGAUCCAUGAUAGAGGUUUACAGUGCCAAGAUUUCAUAAACAUGUUCUGCCUUUACUUUCAACUUGUCUUUGCUUGUAUGUUUAAGGAGAAAUACUUUUUGACAGAAUAUUAUUGAGUUUUGCUUUGUUAAAGUCAAAUAUUUCUUUUUUGAUCAUACCCAUUGAGUAAAGCUUAUCUUAAGAAAUUCCUUUUUCUUGCAACUCAUGUGUUGUCUAUUUUCUUUGAGAAGAAGACAGCAAGACAUGAUUAAACAUAGAAAAGGGUGGAGCAAUGGAAGGCAUCCUACAGGAGUGAGGGAACCAUCUGAUGCCUAGGUCUUACUGCUGUGAAUGUCAAGGAAAUUGAUUAUAGGAAUGGUAAUCUGAACUUUUUCUAUAAGUGUUUAAGUCAAGCACAUAGAAUGUUUUAAAAUCAAUUUACCCAUCAGAUAGGAUAAGUAUUCCAGCUACAAUCAGUACUAGUUGUUAGCACUACACAUCAAGUAUGACACAGAUAGAAACACAGAUUCAGAAAAUAAACUUGGCGUUUCGCAUCUUGAAUACUUUUUGCAAUAGUAAUCUGUUAGGGGUUGGUCUGGUACUGUGUAUACAAAUGGUAAAUUCCGGUCCCCAACACCUGGUUGUUUGCAGAGAAGUGAAUGCUCAUGUGCACCAGUCUUUGUUGUGCAAACCUUACUCUGUAUGCAAUUUAAAGAUAUUGGCUAACUAAAAGUGGCUAUAGACAAUCACUGAGAAUAAAGGUACAUGGGACUUUUAUUACAAGACUCACCAUCGCAAGUACAGACCACAAGAAGAAGGAGAGAAGAGAGAAGGAGGGAGAAGGAGAAAGGAGUCAAAGAAAACUUGAGGUCUUCACUAGACACAAUACACCAGAAGCUCAUGGCCAACUAAUUGCCCCCUGAGGACAUUCUAAUGGAGCAGAAAUAACCUGGGUGAGACUCAAACAGCAAGUAUUUGGGAGCACAGUUGGGGAGUUAACAAUCUUCUGUAUAAAAAAAUAUAUUAGGUGUAAUAUGCCCAGUAAUGGGGUUAAAGCUGAUUUAAAAAAAAAUCCAUAAGAUGCUGUCUCUAUUAUUGGAAGUCUGCCUGGGUUAUACUAAUAACUAACAAAGUUAUUAAAUUACAUUAAAAUAUCAUUUACCACACCUGAGUGGCAUGUAUCAUGUCCUGACAUUUGGGCCUUCCACAGGAACCUACUCUUUACCACAUGUGUUCAGAGAAGCCCCUCUUCUAAUAUUCUCAUGGCCUUUAAUAUAUGAAGGCACACUUUGGAAGUAGUCAGUUGAUUGAAAAUAUUCUCCUUUAGAAUUUCAUCUAUAGUAUUUGUUA